rnacentral:rRNA from 1 species
AAACUUAAAUGAAUUGACGGGGGCCCGCACAAGCGGCGGAGCAUGCGGAUUAAUUCGAUGCAACGCGAAGAACCUUACCUGGGUUUGACAUAUGCCGGAAAGCCCCAGAGAUGGGGCCCCUUUUAGUCGGUAUACAGGUGGUGCAUGGCUGUCGUCAGCUCGUGUCGUGAGAUGUUGGGUUAAGUCCCGCAACGAGCGCAACCCUCGUCCUAUGUUGCCAGCAAGCCCUUCGGGGUGUUGGGGACUCAUAGGAGACUGCCGGGGUCAACUCGGAGGAAGGUGGGGAUGACGUCAAGUCAUCAUGCCCCUUAUGUCCAGGGCUUCACGCAUGCUACAAUGGCCGGUACAAAGGGCUGCGAUGCUGUAAGGCGGAGCGAAUCCCAAAAGCCGGUCUCAGUUCGGAUUGGGGUCUGCAACUCGACCCAUGAAGUCGGAGUCGCUAGUAAUCGCAGAUCAGCAACGCUGCGGUGAAUACGUUCCCGGGCCUUGUACACACCGCCCGUCACGUCACGAAAGUCGGCAACACCCGAAGCCGGUGGCCUAACCCUUGUGGAGGGAGCCGUCGAAGGUGGGGCUGGCGAUUGGGAC